UUAGUAGAAUAUUAGUGGUAAUCAUUUACAAAGCUCUUUACAUAUAUUUUUUCAUUUUAUCCAAGUCACUCAUAGGAACAUUGAACAGAAAGAGUUCAAGAACAGAAACUUCAGAAGAUUUGUCUGAACUGAUGCAGAAUGAAAAUUUCCCUGCCAAAGGGGAUCAAGGCCAGCCCCAUUGCAUGAACAUAGCUUAUACUCCAACCAAGACUGGAAACAUUCUGUGGGUCCACAACACCAAGGGAAAUGGACUGAAGUAAAGAUUAUGGGGCAGUCAUUGAACCUGCAGUCCUAGAAGUUGAGAGACAAAGAAGGUUGAUGUCACUGGGACAGAAGAGAAUAAUACAAUAUCAAUACAAGGAUGAUGACAACAACUCACAUUUUUUGUGCUUACCAUGUAAUGUUAGGAUAAUUUUAUCAUUUUGACUUAAAAUCUAAAUUAAUUUUGUCACCAGGGAAAAUCCCAUAUAAUAAAAUACCAAAGAAAUUA